rnacentral:rRNA from 1 species
CACGUAGGGUGCGAGCGUUGUCCGGAAUUAUUGGGCGUAAAGAGCUCGUAGGCGGUGUGUCGCGUCGGCCGUGAAAACCUGCAGCUUAACUGUGGGCUUGCGGUCGAUACGGGCAUCACUGGAGUUCGGCAGGGGAGACUGGAAUUCCUGGUGUAGCGGUGAAAUGCGCAGAUAUCAGGAGGGAACACCGGUGGGCGAAGGCG